rnacentral:sRNA from 2 species
CCAUAACUGUUUCAUUGAGUGGUCGAGAUUGAGAAUGGCAUGGUGAUAGCGACCGCUGGGCCGUUACCAGCACUAAAAGCUAACCCUCAAAAACUUUUUUUGCUGCACGCUUUUCGUGUUACCAUGACUUCCUCCGGAGGGCUUUGAGAAACAAGAGAAGGCUGAUACUUUUGAGAGACAAAUUGCUUGAUUGGUUUUGCGUUUCCGUUUGUUCCUUUUUUUUUUUGGAUUUUAUUAAAGGACGCACUAGGAAUCUGCUCUCACGUUCUCAUGGGUUUAGGUCACAUCAGAAAUCCCCAGGCUAUCUUUCGGGUAAUCUCCAUGAAACAAGAGAGAAAAAAGUCAGGUAUGGAUAUGGAUGGAAUGCUAAAACUAGAGAAGCGAGAAGGAGAUAACCAAUAAGAGGAGGAGCAUUCCAUCGCGAUGUUGAACGCUGAUUCCCGAUUUCUUUCAACCCUUCAGCUCUCUCUGCCAAAAGCCAAGCUCAAGGGGAGGGAGCCUAUUACCGCACUCAUCGAGUCAUGGUUGAGCGUCAUCCGGUAUCAUCCUCCCUCGUCCAUUCCCCAGGUCGCGAGGCGCCAGCCAAAAUCAAUUACUACCCGGCCACAUUUCCAAACCGUAGUCACCAUGCACAUCCACCCCGCCACCC